rnacentral:rRNA from 1 species
UACGGGGGGGGCAAGCGUUGUUCGGAAUUACUGGGCGUAAAGGGCUCGUAGGCGGCCAACUAAGUCCGACGUGAAAUCCCCAGGCUUAACCUGGGAACUGCGUCGGAUACUGGAUGGCUUGAAUCCGGGAGAGGGAUGCGGAAUUCCAGGUGUAGCGGUGAAAUGCGUAGAUAUCGGAAGGAACGCCGAUGGCGAAGGCAAUCCCCUGGACCUGUACUGACGCUCAUGCACGAAAGCGUGGGGAGCAAACAGG